AUAGAGGGAGAUGGUGUAGAGAUGGAAGGAGGGGUUGCGUGGGUAUCUUGAGAGGAGGAGAGUUGGUUUCAAAGUUUUUCAUUUGAUUGUGAUGUCAUGUCAAUUAUGAGGUUCAAUUACAUAUUUUAUAUUACUAGUGUGCCUCUGUCUAUAGGCAUGAGUUUACAAAAAAUGAAUCAGGAGAAUUAAGUGCAAUUAAUCUAACUAAACUAAAACCAAUUAUUCCCUUGACAAUUAUCAACUCUGAAAUUUGUAAAUAUUGCAAACUGUUUUAUUUUCUGAAAGGGAGUAGCUACUGGUCCACAGCACUCCGUGGGAAACAAAAUCUCAUUAUCCACUAAAAGCAAAAGGUGCUCUACCCUGAUUAUUAUGUGGUAAACAGGCUAGUGAGUUAAAAAAAAGGGAAAAAUGAAGUGAAGUUUUCUGAAAUGGUGCUGCAUGUGCUAAUUUAAGGCACUCUAUGCUAUUGAGAGAGUUUGGAUUUACUUAUGUGAAGAGUUUUGUGAAUGGAGAUUUUGUGAAGAAAAUUCUCCCUUUUUUCUCUUAUUAAUUUCAGGCACCAAAGGGUGCCAUUUAUAGAAGAAAGGUAGGUAUCUUUUCAGGAAUGUAAGGAAGAGGUGAUAACAGAUUUCUGUUGUUACCAUGCCACCUCACCUUCUAGAAGAAUGAUACUUCACCUACUAGAAUUAUUCAACUCUGUAUAACAGAAUGGAGAAUUACAGCAUUUUCUACACUUCCCCUCAAUCUAGUUUACAUAUAUAUCGAGUAGACUUAGAUUUGAUACAAUAUUAUCAAAUAUCUGUUUUGUUAGUGUCUUUGUUAGGAUUUGUUGAUUUGAAGGGAUGUGUAUAAGAGUUAUAGUUCUAUCUUCAAUCUUUUCUUUGAUGAAAUGUCGAUCUAUCUCUACAUGUUUGGUUCUGUCAUGGUGUACUAGGUUUUUGACCAUGCUGAUUGUUGAUUGAUUGUCACACCACACUUUCAUAUAAGUAUCAAUAGAUGUCUUUAAUUCUAGUAGUAUUCUUCUCAACCAUAUCUCUUUACAAAUUCCAUGUGUAAUUGCUCGAAAUUCAGAUUUUGCACUGUUACGGGAUAUUACAGAUUGCUUUUUGCUGCGCUGUGUGACCAGAUUUUCCCACACAUAUUUGCAGUAGCUAGAAGUGGAUCUCCUGUCAGUUAUCGAUCCUGCCCAAUCAGCAUCAGUAAAGACUUCAAUAUCCAUGUUUAUUUUCUUUUGGAAAAUUAGUUCUUGAUCCAGUGUUCUUUUUAGGUGCCUCAAAAUUCUGUACACGGCCUUCAUAUGUAUUUCUGACGGUUGAUUCAUGAAUUGAUUUACUGUACUGACUGCAAAGCUGAUGUCUGGUCUUGUGUGUGCUAGGUAUAUUAGUUUCCCGACCAGUUUAUGAUACAUCUCUUUGUCAACACUUUUCUCACAUUUUGUAGAUCCCAGUUUCGUUGUUGGAUCCAUAGAUGUAUUUGCAGGUUUACAAUCAAGCAUACCUGUUUCCUUCAGGAGAUUCAGGACAUACUUCCGUUGUGAUACGAAAAUUCUUUUCUUAGACCGAGCAAUUUCCAUACCUAGGAAGUACUUGAGCAUUCCAAGAUCUUUAAUUUCGAAUUCUUUGAUUAGAAACUCUUUAAGUUUUCGAAUUUUCUCAAUAUGAUCUCCUGUGAGGAUAAUAUCAUCUACAUACACAAUCAAAAUUGAUCUUUUACUUGAGAUACAAUGUUUGACAAAUAAAGUGUGAUUUGAUUGACAUUGCUCAUACCCAAUAUGUUUUACAGCUCUAGUGAAUCUGUCAAACCAAGCUCUUGGAUAUUGUUUGAGUCCAUAUAGUGAUUUUUUGAGUCUGCAAAUCUUGUGAGACUGAUCGUUUAUUUUCAAACCUGGUGGGAUAUUCAUGUACACUUUUUCUUAUAGAUCACCAUUCAGAAAUACAUUUUUUAUAUCCAGUUGAUAAAGGGGCCAAUCAAGAUUUGCUACAAGAGAGAAUAGUACCCAUAUUGUGUUGUGCUUAGCGACUGGAGUAAAGGCCUUCUGAUAGUUUGUACCAUAGGAUUGAGUAAAACCCUUAGCCAGAAGGCGUGCUUUGAGUCGAUUUACACUCCCAUCUGGGUUAUACUUGGUCGUGAAUAUCCAUUUACAUCUAACUGGUCGUUUUCUUGGAGGUAGCUCAGACAAUUCCCAUGUCUCAUUUUUUUCAAGAGCACUAAUCUCUUCUUGAAUAGCUGUACUCCACUCUGGUAUUUUAAGAGCUUCAUACACUAUUUUUGGUUCUGGAAGACUGCUGUCAAGUUUGCUAACAAAUGCAUGAUGUUUCAAAGAUAGAUUGCCGAAUGAUACAUAAUCUUGUAUGGGAUAUUUUGUGUAUAAUCUGAUACCUUUUCUUACAACAAUAGGUAAGUCAAUAUCAGUAGUAGAGUCAGUAACAAGUACUUUAUUACCUGUUGAUUCCUUAACCGUUGGAGUGGGUACGGAUUCAUGGCAAGUCCUGGUUAGUUUCGGUACUUGUUCUCCAUGAACUUUGUUCCUUCUGGUAUAGACACGUAGCUCAUUUACUGUAGGUAGUGUACACUCAGUUUUUGCUACAGGUUCAGGUUUAGGAUCAGACUCUAGGGGAGGUUAAUUUUGUGGGUAGAUGGAAUGAAUGCUAACAUCCCACACUUGAUAUUCUUGAGUAGAAUGCUCUCCCUGAAUAUCAAUAGUGGGAUAAAAAGACUGAUUCUAAAAAAAAAGUAACAUCCAUUAUAUUAUAGAAUCGUCGUGUAUCCGGAAAAAAACAUUUGUAUCAUUUUUUAUUCGACGAGUAUCCAACAAAGAUAUACUUAAAGACUUUUGGGUCAAGUUUCCCCCGAAGAUGUGAGUGGAUAUGAACGAAAGCAGAAUACUCGAAAACUUUAAGUGGCAGUGAGUGUAAGAUAUGUGAAUCAGGAAAGUUCUGAGAGAGAAGAUCAUAGGUGUUUGAAAAUUCAAAAUACGGAAAGACAUUCGGUUUAUCAGAUAAGUCGCAGUGAGUAUUGCCUCUCCCCAAAGAAACUUAGGAAUAUGGGUAGUGAACAUAAUAGAUCUGGCGACUUCAAGAAUAUAUCUGUUUUUUCGUUCGGUUAUGCCAUUUUGCUGGGGGGUAUAUACACAAGAACUUUGGUGAAUAAUGCCAUGUUCCUCAAAGUAUUUCUCAAGAGUGAUUUCAAAAUAUUCACAGGCAUUAUCAGUUUUAAGUACCUGUGUAGUGGUAUGAAACUGGAUUUGAAUCAUAGUAUUGAAUCUUUUGAAAAUGGCUCCUACUUCCGGUUUUUCUGUCAUUAGGAAGAUCCAAGUAAUUCUAGUGUAAUAAUCAAUAAAUGAUACAAAGCACUUAUUUGUAGAUAUGUUGAUAACCCUGGAAGGUCUCCAAACAUCACUGUGAAUUAAUGCAAACGGUUUGGAAGGCUUGUAUGGUAAACUUGCAAAAGAAUUUCGACUAUAUUUAGAUAUUUGACAUACUUCACAUUGAAACAAAAGUAAAACUUUAUUUCUGAACAAUAAGGGAAACAUCUUUUGUAGAUAUAAAAAGUUUGGAUGACUUAAGCGAUAAUACUAUAAUAUGAUAUCAUGAUCAUUAUUUAAUUGACUCUCAGGAACAGAGUUUGUACAUACUGCCGUUUAAGUUUAUCUUCCAGAAGGGUCUGUUAGAAGGAGAUACAAGCCUGAUUGCAUCCUAGCAUUGUCAAUCAUCCUCCCCGAUCCAAGUCCUGAAAUUCACAUAUUUUUGAACUAAAUUUAGCAAUAGAGUUUUGAUCAACAUAAGUUUGCUAGCCGAUAGUAAAUUGCAGUCCAGUUUUGGUACAUAAAGUACUGAAUGAAGGGUCAACUGUGGUGUUAAAACAAUAGAACCAGUUCCAGCCACUCUGGAGAUUGACCCGUCUGCAAUUUUAAUUAUGAAAUUCUUAUAUGAUGUUUUGUAAUUCUGAAAUAGGGAUACAUUACCUGUCAUAUUGUUUGAUGCUCUAGAAUCAACCACCCAUGUGUUCUGUUUUGAAGAAUAUGCUAUCAAACCAAUUGUUGCUUUACCUUUUUGUGCCACCGAAGCACGCAUGAGCUGAGUAGGUAAACAAUUCUGCUUGAAUAAUUGUUGAAGGACCUCUAUUUGUGCAGCAUUGAAGGGAUUGCUUUCUACAACAUUUUCUUCAACAGUGGAAACAACAAUAUUUUCUUGACGAUUUCCAUUGCUCUCUGUUCUUUCUACCUUGUUCUCGCUGGGUUUCCCGUGUAACUUCCAGCAUUUCUCACGAACGUAGCUGAGUCUCCUGCAGUGAUCACAAUACGGUUUUCCCUUCUUUUCGCGGGAUUCAGACCGCAUGGUGAGUGCAGAUGCACUUUCGGCAGAGUAGGUAGGCUGCGCUUCUCCCAUCCUCACCCGCCUCCUGCUCUCUUUUUUCUGAAUUUCCGCGAACACUUCUCGAAUGUUGGGUAGUGGUUUCAUUCCCAGCACCCGUCCACAAACCUCAUCCAGACUUUUGUUGUGCUCCAUCAAGAAUUUGAAGAUUCUUUUCUGCUCGGUAAAGAGUCUGAACGUCCGAUUAUCAUUUGGACAACUCCAUUGAUGCUCCUCGAAGGUAUCCAGUUGUUGCCAGCUUCGGGUUAGUGAAUUAAAGUAUUGGAUAACAGAAAGCUCACCUUGAUGCAGUUCAUGGAGAGUCAACUCCACCUCGAAGAUGGUGGAGAUGUUAUCUUUGCUGGAGUACGAUUAGCGAGCCACUUCCCAGAUUUCCUUCGUUGUUUCAUAUAGCAUGAAGUUCACACCAAUGUCGGGCACCAUUUAGUUAAUAAGGCACGACAUUACCAUGCUAUUCUCUAUUUUUCAGACACGGAAACUUGGGUUGCUAGUUGCGGGAGGGAUAGUUUCACCUGUGAGGUAAUCAUUGCGGCCCUUGCCGAGAAUAAAUAGUAAGACGGAGGUUGACCAUUGAAGGUAGUUCUGUCCGUUCAGUUUGUGCCCCGUGAUGAACGAUGAUGCCUGCUCAAUUAGGCUGUGAUUCAGAGUUGCUGGGAGGUAGGAACUCGAAGACACUUUGGGAGGAGAGGAAUUGAGCUCGUUUGUGGCCAUUUGAAUUCUGGCCCAGCUAAAGGAAGCUCUUGGAUCAGAGCUCUGAUACCAUGAAAAGUUUUGUGAAUGGAGAUUUUGUGAAGAAAAUUCUCCAUUUUUUCUCUUAUUAAUUUCAGGUCCCAAAGAGUGCCAUUUAUAGAAGAAAACUAGGCAUCUUUUCAAGAAUGUGAGGAAGAGGUGAUAACAGAUUUCUAUUGUUACCAUGCCACCUGACCUUCUAGAAGAAUGGUACUUCACUCACUAGGAUUAUUCCACUCUAUAUAUCAGAAUGGAACAUUGCAGCAUUUUCUACAUUAUGUUAUUUAUCUACUUGGUAAGCAUAUAAGCUCUCAAAACGAAUUCUAUAAAUUAAGAAGUUGCAGACCCGUGGUUAAUUAGCAGAAUAUUUAGAGCUUAUUAUCCAAAAAAAAAAGGUGAUAUAAGGAAAUUUUGUAAGCUAAUUUUUACUUACAAGCCAAGAACUUAGGAGACAAAAGAACUUACUGUACAUUAUCUUUCUCUCAGAAUCAGCGUACCCCCUCCAAAAAAAAGCCAAAUCUGAAUAACCUCAACAUUUAUGCGUACUCCAAUCACUCUGCUUACUCUUUGAAGGACUACACCUUUUGUAAUAACAGACUUGACAUUUUCUGAAAUGUAAAUGGGACAGAUUCAUUAAUUUCACACUUUUUCUUAAACUAGCCUUCUGGAUGUACCAUUGAGUGGUCGUAAAAUGUGAC
rnacentral:lncRNA from 1 species